AUUGAACGCUGGCGGCAGGCCUAACACAUGCAAGUCGAGCGGAGCGGCGGACGGGUGAGUAAUGCCUAGGAAUCUGCCUGGUAGUGGGGGAUAACGUCCGGAAACGGGCGCUAAUACCGCAUACUAUCAGAUGAGCCUAGGUCGGAUUAGCUAGUUGGUGGGGUAAAGGCCUACCAAGGCGACGAUCCGUAACUGGUCUGAGAGGAUGAUCAGUCACAUUGGAACUUAGACACGGUCCAGACUCCGACGUGCGGCAGCAGUGGGGAAUAUUGGGCAAUGGGCGUAAGCCUGAAUAAGCCCAGCCGGUUGUAUGCAGAAGGUCUUGUGAUGGUCAAGUACUUUAAGCUGGGAGCCGGUCCCAACAGAGCAAGCCCAGGCUAACUUCGUGUCAGCAGCCGCGGUAAUAC
rnacentral:rRNA from 1 species